UACGGGGGGGCAAGCGUUGUUCGGAAUUACUGGGCGUAAAGGGCUCGUCGGCGGCCAACUAAGUCGGAUGUGAAAUCCCCAGGCUCAACCUGGGAACUGCAUCCGAUACUGGAUGGCUUGAAUCCGGGAGAGGGAUGCAGAAUUCCAGGUGUAGCGGUGAAAUGCGUAGAUAUCUGGAGGAAUACCGGUGGCGAAGGCGGCAUCCUGGACCGGCAUUGACGCUGAGGAGCGAAAGCUAGGGGAGCAAACGGG
rnacentral:rRNA from 1 species